rnacentral:rRNA from 1 species
GAUGAACGCUAGCGGCAGGCUUAAUACAUGCAAGUCGAGGGGCAGCGGGAGUAGCAAUACUUGCCGGCGACCGGCGCACGGGUGCGUAACACGUAUGUAAUCUGCCCAUCACAGGAGGAUAGCCCGGAGAAAUUCGGAUUAAUACUCCAUAAUAAAUUGAGUGGCAUCACUUGAUUUUGAAAGUUCCGACGGUGAUGGAUGAACAUGCGACUGAUUAGUUAGUUGGUGAGGUAACGGCUCACCAAGACCACGAUCAGUAGGGGUACUGAGAGGUUAACCCCCCACACUGGUACUGAGACACGGACCACACUCCUACGGGAGGCAGCAGUAAGGAAUAUUGGACAAUGGCCGCAAGGCUGAUCCAGCCAUGCCGCGUGCAGGAAGACGGACCUAUGGUUUGUAAACUGCUUUUGAACUAGAGAAAACCCCUUUACGUGUAAAGGGCUGAUAGUAUAGUUAGAAUAAGCAUCGGCUAACUUCGUGCCAGCAGCCGCGGUAAGACGAAGGAUGCAAGCGUUAUCCGGAUUCAUUGUGUUUAAAGGGAGCGUAGGCGGACUUGUAAGUCAGUGGUGAAAUCUUUGGGCUUAACCCAGAAACUGCCAUUGAUACUGCAGGUCUAGAGUACAGUUGCCGUUGGCGGAAUAUGACAUGUAGUG